UCAACUGAAAUGAAUGGUAGACAAUCAUGAAAUCCAUCUAAGACCAAGAACAAUUUAUGCAUACAAAGAUUAGCUCUUGUUGUUCUACCCAUCUUAGAUAUAGGAUCCUAAUUUCUACCCUUUGCAAACCUUUUUCUUUUUUUCUUUUCAAACCACACCCAUUGGACACUUUUGGUCUCUUUUCUCAUCGAAACACAACCCUCAUGAUCAAAACCUUAUUAUUCAUUAGCCACCUAGGGAACCCUUUCUUUAAACACUAAACUCUUAUUUAAUCC
rnacentral:lncRNA from 1 species